rnacentral:rRNA from 1 species
GCACGCUAAGGCGUUGAAGUAGUGUAUGUCAUACUUCCAAGAAAAGCUUGCACUGUCAUAGAUAAAAAACGCCUGUACCAUAACCGACACAGGUGGGUAGGUAGAGUAUACUAAGGGGCGCGAGAUAACUCUCUCUAAGGAACUCGGCAAAAUAACUCCGUAACUUCGGGAGAAGGAGUGCCUUAUUUAUAAGGCUGCAAUAACAAGAUCCAAGCAACUGUUUAUCAAAAACACAGGUCUCCGCUAAGUCGUAAGACGAUGUAUGGGGGCUGACGCCUGCCCAGUGCCAGAAGGUUAAAGAAGUUGGUCAGCAAUAGCGAAGCUGAUAACUGAAGCCCUGGUGAACGGCGGCCGUAACUAUAACGGUCCUAAGGUAGCGAAAUUCCUUGUCGGGUAUGUUCCGACCCGCACGAAAGGCGUAAUGAUUUGGAUACUGUCUCGGAGAGGGGCUCGGUGAAAUAGACUUGUCUGUGAAGAUGCGGACUACCUGCACCAGGACAGAAAGACCCUAUGAAGCUUUACUGUAACUUGAAAUUGAAAUUGGACUUUAUUCGCGCAGUAUAGGUGGGAGGCGUCGAUUGUAAUCUUGCGGGAUUAUUGGAGCCAUCAGUGAGAUACCACCCUUGUAAUGUUAGAUUUCUAACUUUGAAUCAUUAUCUGGUCAAAGAACAGUUUCAGGCGGGCAGUUUGACUGGGGCGGUCGCCUCCUAAACGGUAACGGAGGCGUACAAAGGUUUCCUCUGAACGGUUAGAAAUCGUAUCUAGAGUGUAAAGGCAUAAGGAAGCUUGACUGUGAGACCUACAAGUCGAGCAGGGACGAAAGUCGGUCUUAGUGAUCUGACGGUACUGAGUGGAAAGGCCGUCACUCAACGGAUAAAAGUUACUCUAGGGAUAACAGUCUGAUCUCCCCCAAGAGUUCACAUCGACGGGGAGGUUUGGCACCUCGAUGUCGGCUCAUCGCAUCCUGGGGCGGUAGUACGUCCCAAGGGUUGGGCUGUUCGCCCAUGAAAGCGGUACGCGAGCUGGGUUCAGAACGUCGUGAGACAGUUCGGUCCAUAUCCGGUGUAGGCGUUAGAAUAUUGAGAGGAGCCUUCUUUAGUACGAGAGGACCGAGAAGGACAUACCUCUGGUGUACCAGUUAUCGUGCCAACGGUAAACGCUGGGUAGCUAUGUAUGGAGUGGAUAACCGCUGAAAGCAUCUAAGUGGGAAGCCCACCUCAAGAUAAGUAUUCUC